rnacentral:rRNA from 1 species
UACGUAGGUGGCAAGCGUUGUCCGGAUUACUGGGCGUAAAGAGCGCGCAGGCGGUCGGCCAAGUCGAGUGUGAAAGCCCCCGGCUCAACUGGGGAGGGUCAUUCGAUACUGGUCGACUCGAAGGCAGGAGAGGGAAGCGGAAUUCCCGGUGUAGUGGUGAAAUGCGUAGAUAUGGGAGGAACACCAGUGGCGAAGGCGGCUUCCUGGCCUGUUCUUGACGCUGAGGCGCGAAAGCUAGGGGAGCAAACGGG